rnacentral:rRNA from 1 species
UCCUGCGGCCAUGCCACCCUGAAUGCGCCCGAGCUUGUCUUCUCUCAGAAGCUGAGCAGGGUCGGGCCUGGUUAGUAUUUGGAUGGGAGGGGGCGACUGGGAGAAUGCAAAUG